UGUUCCGAUGUAACUAUUUAG
rnacentral:piRNA from 1 species